UACGUAGGGACCAAGCGUUGUUCGGAUUUACUGGGCGUAAAGGGCGCGUAGGCGGCGUGUUAAGUCAGCUGUGAAAUCUCCGAGCUUAACUCGGAACGGUCAGCUGAUACUGAUGUGCUAGAGUGCAGAAGGGGCAAUCGGAAUUCUUGGUGUAGCGGUGAAAUGCGUAGAUAUCGUAAGGAAGACCAGUGGCGAAGGCGAGUUUCUGGACAGUUACUGACGCUGAGGCACGAAGGCCAGGGGAGCAAACGGG
rnacentral:rRNA from 1 species